GGGAUUGUGGCUCAGUAGUAGAGUACUUGCCUGGCAUGUAUGAGGCACUGGGUUUGAUUCUCAGCACCG
rnacentral:tRNA from 1 species